UCGAACUCCUACGGGAGGCAGCAGUGGGGAAUAUUGCACAAUGGGGGAAACCCUGAUGCAGCGACGCCGCGUGGAGGAAGAAGGUCUUCGGAUUGUAAACUCCUGUUGUUGAGGAAGAUAAUGACGGUACUCAACAAGGAAGUGACGGCUAACUACGUGC
rnacentral:rRNA from 1 species